AUCUGAUCUCAACUUAACCAUCUUUUUUCUUUCUUUCGACAGUUGUGCCAAAAUUCUCUACUGAAUAGACAAAUAUCAGCUCAUAUGUGAUCUGUCAGCAGAGUGUAGGUGAAGAAAGGUAAACAUGUUUACCGUGAGAUUUCCUUCCAGCAGUAUGUCUAAAAUGUGCUUCUCUGGCUCAAAGAAUGACUUACGCUUGAAAUGCUUAACCUGCAUUUAGAUCAGCAGUGUUACAAGGUCAAGUUGAUAUGUCCAGAUGGUGUCGUGCUCGAUUUUGGUAAUACUUCCAUCCUCGAUAUUGCUCUAUUGUGCGGUAGUUUGAAGCAUCAAAUGGAAUUUUAUUUUGUAUGUAUGAUGUUAUUUCAAGUUAUGCAUAAGAUCUUUGUUAAGGUGAAGCAGCAAAUAUUGCUAUGUUGUCCUUGAGAAUGUUGAGGAUUGAGAUUAUAAGUGUAAUUACGAAAGACAAAGUUGGACGUCUUUAUAAUGACG